rnacentral:lncRNA from 1 species
AAUCAACUUUUUUGAGUGCCUACUAUAUGUCAGCUUUUUCACUAGUAUUUUAAUAUACUUUAAUCAUCAAAACAUAUCUGCAAAUAUGAUAUUCAUUACUCCCAUUUUCCUUUUAAGGAAGCAAAGCUCACAGAUGUUGCUGAAGUUAACACAGCUAUGGUGGAACUGAGAAUAGAACACAGUCCUGUCUUUAAUCUGUUCAUACACUUGACCAAUGAUCUAUGUCUGAAUCUGCAAAUAUAGAAGUCUGCCUAAGAAUUCCAUACUGAAUAUUUUAGCAUUUUUGGGGGGGAAAUUCUCUUGGUGCUGUCAAAGAUGACAUGCAUUCAAGAAAGUACAAAAUCUCUUCUGCCUUCUUAAAAGCAUGUGUUAACAGACAAGUGUUUGCUUCUUCACUGACAAAAGUUAAGAUUUUGGGAACUAAACUCUAACUUGUUCACUUGUCUGUAAAUUUCUGAAUGGCAGAGACCAUGACCUUGACUUCCAAUAUCCAAUUUAUACCUGGUUUAAAAGAAUCUUGCACACAGUCAAGCCAUGAUAAUAGUAGAUUAUAUUAUAGUAGGUGAAUUUUUAUUUCAUCUAAACACUGAAGACUCAAGCCCUAAAUUAUUUCAAUUAUGUAUGAAAUAAACCAAUGCUUACACAAUACAGUUCUUUAUUUAUUUGAUACAAGUAAAAGAAGAAAACACUUGGCAACUGCUCUCUUCUACAGUGAAUUUGGUUUGGCUUGUUAACUGAGUGGUGAAGGAUUUGGAUAUGAAUAUUUUCAGUUGGCAGCAAAGAAGAGAAAGAAUUCUACAUUUUCUCCUUGACAUUCCCUCCCUCCUCCCCCCCCCCCNNNNNNNNNNNNNNNNNNNNNNNNNNNNNNNNNNNNNNNNNNNNNNNNNNNNNNNNNNNNNNNNNNNNNNNNNNNNNNNNNNNNNNNNNNNNNNNNNNNNCCCCCCCGCUCCCUUUCUUUCUUUCUCCAAGAUCAUGAUUCACUCUUGGGGAAGCCAGCUGUCCUGUCACAAGCAACCAUAUGAAAAUACCCAUGUGGUGAGAAACUGAGGUCUCUUGACAACAGCCAAAUAAGUAAGCUGGGAAGUGUAUUCUCCAGCUCCAUGUAAGCCUUUGGAUGACUACUGCCCCAACUAACAAUUUGCCUGCCGCCUCACGAGAGACUGAACUAAAAGGACUCAGCUAUUCUCCUUGUGGAUUUCUGAAACUGUGAAAGAUAAUAAAUGUUUGUUGUUUUAAGCCACUAAAUUUUGUGGUAAUUUAUUGUGCAGCAAUAGGUAACUAAUACAAUGGGACAGGAGUCCCAACAUGGCAGUCUAGCCUGAAAAAGAUAGCCAAAAAUGCAUGUGAGCAAGAGGAUGAGGCAAGAACAUACAAUAUUUCAGGAAGUCCAUUAAAGUUGGUACCAAUAGCCAGCAUGUCAAGCCCUAUUAAUAGGGAGCCAACAAAAUUGUCAUACUUAAGAAUUAAGUUGGUGACUAAUGUUUAAUUCUAAAGGUUGGUAAAAGAUGCAGGUGAAUUGGAACUUAAUGAACGCAGCUACAGAAAUGCUAUAAUUAUCUCACAAAUUAGGAGACCCUAUAGGACAUAGAGGUUGGAAGUUGUCAGAGUCAUGAGUUCAGUUAAACACAUAGGCAUCAUUUUUACCCCAUAGGAACUUAUAUUUUUAAAUGAAUAAGUUGAUACGGGAAAGCAUCUAACAGAAUGUAAUUUGAGAUUCCAAGUGCACACUCCUCUCCCUCCACUGCAUUCUCUUUGCCACCAUCACAGCUCAAGCUCUCAGCACCUCGUGUCCAGCACUUAAUUGCUACCAGCUUGUUUCUUGUUCUUUUGCCUUGUCUUCUCAGCUACACUGUAGGCUGCUUAAGGAAAAGAUCAUGUCUCCUUCAAAAAUCCCCCUCCAACCACAAGUUCUUCUUAUUUGAAAUGUGAGUAUAUGUGGACUUAUUUCUGUAUACCUUCUCUGAGACCACAAGAAUGUUGGAUCAUUAUACAUGAAUCAUUUCAAGUUGCCACCAUCUUAUCUCUAGUAAGAUUCGGGAUCCUCUGGAUUAUUUGUUUCUUCCCUCUUCUGCUUCUCUGUACUAUUGCAAAAGUUCUCCAAAAUCUUAUUCAAAAUCUAUCCUUUGUAUUGUGGGUAUUAUUAUGGGAGAAUACACUGCCAUAGAUAAGCUAGACCUGAAAUCUGAUUUCCAGUCAUUUGCUAACCAUGUACUCUGUACAAUAUUACAAAAAAGCAACUAAUAAUAAUAUAUUUAAACUGUGGCAAAUCCUGGGAAUGUGUAAAGAAUUAUUCAUGAUGUGUCAUGAUAUUGCUCAUUUUUUUGAUCUGAUUCUAUGUAGUUAAGUUAUAAUUCUUAUCAAAGAAGACUUUGGAAAACCUUUCUAUACAGAAUGCUUUCCAGGACAGAAAAAUUUACUCACAUAAAAGGCUACCAAGCAGUUGGAUGUUGGAGAGACUGAAAAAUGCACUAUCUUAAAAGGAGGCAGCUGGCAACUUUGAAAGUAUCUUAAAGGAAAGGAAGACCUUAGAAAACAAUUUCUAAAACCUUGGGCUAUAAACUUUUCAUUUGAACAAGUGGAUAACAUGUAUUUUAAAGAAAACUUGAAAGGUGUCCUAAGUGAUUCACCACAAUUCUAUAAAAUGACUAAUUCUUUCAAAUUUAUUAGGUGUCUCUUUAAAGCUGUUUCUUCCAGGAAUUCCUCCUGUGUAGUCCACUAGUGCCUUAUCCUACACUUAAUGCAAUUAAAACUCACUUCACAUUUAAUUUGCUGUUUGCACCAGUCACUUGUGGGCUUUUAAUGGGAGUGGUGACCUUUCUUGAUUAAUUUUGUGCUGCCAAUCAUUAAUAUAGUACUUUAAUGUAAAAGGUGCCUCAAGAGUAUUUGUGCAUGAAUAAAAGAAUAAAUAAAUGGAGAUAAAAUGUUAUUACAUACCUUAAAAAACAGUUGUUAUAUGCAUGUUUUCU